ensembl:scaRNA SCARNA6 small Cajal body-specific RNA 6
GGUCAGUGAUGUUUUGUAAAAGGUCUGAUUCAGCUCCUCCUCCUCAGCCAUCAUCUUGGCUCCCAGCAGUCUCUCUCUCUUACUCCCAUCAUGCACCAGUUCAGCACUGAUGGUUUAAGAGGCUGCUGACACAUAGGGAGUUACAUCACAGUGUGAGUCUAUACAGAGACCCUAUAGAUUCAGAGUGAUGUGGGACCUCCAACAGGGCCAAUAGGUGUGGAGCUUGAGGCGGCUGUGGGGGAGGAGCCUAGAUGUGAUCUCACCCUGUUACUGAGGCC